AGCUGGGCACUGAGAGGAACACUGGGACUCACUUGCCAUUUUCCUGACACAAACCAGAGUCCAAUUUGUGAAAAUAAUGAAGGUGCCUUCUCAUCAGGAAACUCCACACUUAGAUUCUUACAAAGUUCCAGACAGAGGGAUCUACCACUGGGAGAGGGUCCAGAGACCAAAUAACUCCCCCUCCCACCCCCACACUAAGUUAACUUAAAAGGUCCAGAGAAGGUUCACAAAAAGAUGAAGAAGAAUCAGAAAGAAGGAGAAGGAGGAGGAAACUCCAGGCCUCGCCUACAGUAGGGCUCAAUGGAAGAAUUCCCAGGAGCUCUGACAUUUCUGUAUUCUGUUCUAUAAAUAAAUCCUGUCUUACCACUGAUCUUUGGUCCGCGGAUUCAUUCUUUGAAUCGCCAAGACCAAGAACCUACUGAAGAGUGAAAUUCCAGUAUCAUAUUUGGGGGCUCGUCCAGGAUUGACAAUCUGUGCUGUUCGAGUUAUGGGAAUAGAUUUCUGGAUACAUCAUUCACAAGUAAAAUCCUGGAACCCACCACCCACUACAGAAGCAGACCAGGAAGAGAAUCAACCCCAGUCCACCUACACUUGUGAGCCUAAGGAAAAUUUAAAGCUAUUGUUUAGGAGACAGCAAGAAAAGUGUUAAUAUAGUUUUCUUUUUAACAUCCCUGACUUUGUCCUUCUAACCUGACACUCUAAUUAGCCCCCUCCUCUCACUGUUCUACCCUUGCCUUUUUAUGUGCUAAUCAGAUUUGUGUCUUUCAGAAAUGUCAUCAAGCCACACAUAGUAAAGAUGGUUCCAGACCAAGACCUGAUUCUAUCGUGGACCCCUGGAUCACUCUCCCUCUAGAGAAACCCUAACUGCCCCCUUCUAUCAUCACCCAACUCAGCAGGAAGUAGUUAGAUCCAGUCUUUGUCCUUUUUCCCUGACAGCAGUUAGAGUUUCUACUUGGACAAGGAGCUUUGAUACAGGACAAAUGGCGGCCCAGCCAGCUCAUGGAGCUGGGCAGCACUGACCAGCUGCCUCUGCCUUGGUGGUGUUGGUCCACCCCUGGCAGUAAGCAGCGAAUCAGCAGGCUGGAGUGUAGGCAGGGGGCCCCAUUUCCUAUGCCUGGGAAUGAAAGGGACUGUAGCCAUUCAUUUGUGACCCAGAUAUGACCCAGACAUGUCCCAGACAUGAUGUCCCAGACACUCUAAAUGUAACUACCAAGCCCUGUUAAAUAUAACUACUGAGGGCCCCACACAACUAUAUAUAUCCCUAGACAAAGAGCCGGGAGAGAGACAGACAGAGAGACAGAGAGCGAGCUUUUCUCUCCCAUUUGGG